rnacentral:rRNA from 1 species
UACGAAGGGGACUAGCGUUGUUCGGAAUCACUGGGCGUAAAGCGCACGUAGGCGGAUUUGUAAGUCAGGGGUGAAAUCCCGGGGCUCAACCUCGGAACUGCCUUUGAUACUGCGGAUCUCGAGUCCAAUAGAGGUGGGUGGAAUUCCUAGUGUAGAGGUGAAAUUCGUAGAUAUUAGGAAGAACACCGGUGGCGAAGGCGGCCCACUGGAUCGGUACUGACGCUGAGGUGCGAAAGCGUGGGAGC